UGGGGAAUAUUGCACAAUGGGCGAAAGCCUGAUGCAGCAACGCCGCGUGAAGGAUGAAGGCCUUUGGGUCGUAAACUUCUGUCCUUGGGGAAGAAAAAAAUGACGGUACCCCUGGAGGAAGUCCCGGCUAACUACGUGCCAGCAGCCGCGGUAAUACGGAGGGGGCGAGCGUUAUCCGGAAUUAUUGGGCGUAAAGAGUACGGAGGUGGUUGUUUAAGCGCAGGGUUUAAGGCGAUGGCUCAACUGUCGUUCGCCCUGUGAACUGGAAGACUUGAGUACAGUAGAGGAAAGCGGAAUUCCUAGUGUAGCGGUGAAAUGCAUAGAUAUUAGGAGGAACACCUGUGGCGAAGGCGGCUUUCUGGACUGUAACUGACACUGAGGUACGAAAGCGUGGGGAGCAAACA
rnacentral:rRNA from 1 species